AUACGUAGGGGGCAAGCGUUGUCCGGAUUUACUGGGUGUAAAGGGCGCGUAGGCGGGCUAAUAAGUCAGAGGUGAAAUCCUGCAGCUUAACUGCUGAACUGCCUUUGAUACUGUUAGUCUUGAGUUCGAAAGAGAGAGAUGGAAUUCCGGGUGUAGUAGUGAAAUACGUAGAUAUCCGGAGGAACACCGGAGGCGAAGGCGAUCUCUUGGUUCGAUACUGACGCUGAGGCGCGAAAGCGUGGGGAUC
rnacentral:rRNA from 1 species